rnacentral:tRNA from 1 species
GGCUUUAUAGUCAAUAACUAUGACAUCAGACUGCAAUUCUGAAGUAGUAUAAUUAUACUAAAGCUU